GGCUCUUUCUUUUACCACGGAACCUAAGACCUUCUUUGUCGUGUAGGGACAAUGGCGCCAUUGUUCUUACCUUCUUUAAAGCAGCUGCAAGAAGAAACCAUGAUGGAUGGGAGCCCAAAGCAUUUGAGAGAAUUCAUAACGGAAUGGAACUUGCAUAAAAUUUGACCCUUAUUAAAAG